AAAUUUAUCAAGAUUUUUUCAUACUAUUUUUUUCUUCUUCCCUCCUACCUCUCCUCUCCUCUCCUCCCUUUCCUUCCUUCCUUCCUUCCUUCCUUCCUUCCUUCCUUCCUUCCUUCCUUCCUGUGGUAAGAUGACUAAUGACCCUCAAAGAUGUCCAUGUCCUAAUCCUUAGAGGUAUGAAUAUUUUACAUUAUAUGGCAAAGAGGAAUUGUGAUUGUAGAUGGAAUUAGGUCACUAAUCAAUUGACCUUAACAUAGGGAGAUAAUCCUUGAUUGUCCAGUUGGCCUCAAUAGACUCAAAAAGGCUCUUAAAAGUGGAAGACAGAAGAAAAGGAAUAGUUAGAGAAAGAUGUAAGGAUGAAAGAAUAGGUAGAGAGAUGAAACGUUGCUGUCUUUAAAGAUGGACCUUAAGCCAAGGAUUGUGGGAAGCCUCUAGAAUCUAAAAAAAGUAAGAAAACAGAGUUCCCCCUGGAACCUCCAGAAAGAAACGUCACCCUGCCAAGGAUUGUGGGAAGCCUCUAGAAUCCAGAAAAGGUAAGAAAACAGAGUUCUCCCUGGAGCCUCCAGAAAGAAACAUCGCCCUUCCACCUAUGGGCCUGUAAAAUCAAAAGCAAGUUAGUUACUUCCUAGAUACAAUGGGGAUACAGGCAUUGGGUAAAUACAGCCACUCCAAAUGGGAGGCAUUGGCCAAAACGAAGGGGCUACAGGCCCCAUGAAAGUCUGAAAUCCAGUGGGGCAGUCAAAUCUUAAAGCUCCAAAAUGAUCUCCUUUGACUCCAUGUCUCACAUCCAGGUCACACUGAUGCAAGAGGUGGUCUCCCACAGCCUUGAGCAGGUCCGCCCCUGUGGCUUUGCAGGGUAUAGCCCCCUCCUGGCUGCUUUAACAGGCUGGAAUUGUCUGCAGCUUUUCCAGGUGCGUGGUGGAUUUACCAUCCUGAGUUCUGGAGGACAGUGGCCCUCUUCUCAAAGCUCCACUAGGUGGUGCCUCAGUAGGGACUCUGUAUGGGGGCUCCCACCAUACUUUUCCCUUCUUCACUGCCCUAGCAGAGGUUCUCCAUGAGGGCCUUGCCCCUGCAGCAAACUUCUGCCUGGGCAUCCAGGCAUUUCCAUACAUCCUCUGAAAUCUUGGUGUAAGUUCCCAAACCUCAGUUCUUGACUUCUGUGAACCCAGGCUCAACACCAUAUGGAAGCUGCCAAGACUUGGGGCUUCCACCCUCUGAAGCCACAGCCCAAGCUGUACCUUGGCCCCUUUUAGUCAUGGAUGGAGCUGCUGGGACACAGGGCACCAAGUCCCUAGACUGCACACAGCAGAGGGACCCUGUGACCAGCCCACGAAGCCAUUUUUCCUUCUAAAGCUCCUGGUCUGUGAUGGGAGGGGCUGCCACAAAGGUCUCUGACAUGCCCUGGAGACAUUUUCCUCAUUGUCUUAGUGAUUAACAUUCAGCUUCUUGUUACUUAUGUAAAUGUCUGCAGCCAGCUUAAAUUUCUCCUCAGAAAAUUGGUUUUCCUUUUCUACUGCAUUGUCAGGCUGAAAAUUUUCUGAACUUUUAUGCUGUAUUUCCCUUUUAAAACUGAAUGCCUUUAAUAGCAACCAAGUCACCUCUUGAAUGCUUUGCUGCAUAAAAAUUUCUUCCUCCAGAUACCCUAAAUAAUCUGUCUCAAGUUUAAUGUCCCACAAAUCUCUAGGGCAGGGGCAAAAUGCCUCCAGUCUCUUUGCUUUAUGUCUAAAACAUAACAAGAGUCACCUUUGCUCCAGUUCCCAAGAAGUUCCUUAUCUUUGUCUGAGACCACCUCAGCCUGGACUUCAUUGUUCAUAUUAUUAUCAGCAUUUUGGUUAAAGCCAUUCAACAAGUCUCUAGGGAGUUCCAAAUUUCCCACACUUUCCUGUCUUCUUAUGAGCCCUCCAAACCAUUCCAACCUCUGCCUGUUACCCAGUUUAAAGUUGCUUCCACAUAUUCGGGUACCUUUUCAGCAGUGCCCCUCUCUACUGGUGCCAACUUACUAUAUUAGUCAGUUUUCAGGCUGCUGAUAAAGACAUACCUGAGACUGGGCAAUUUACAAAAGUAAGACCCAAUUCCACAUGGCGGGGGAGGCCUCACAAUCAGGGCAGAAGUUGAAAGGCAUGUCUCAAAUGGCACAGACAGGACAAGAGCCUUUGCAGGGAAACUCCACAUUAUGAAACCAACAGAUCUCAUGAAACUUAUUCAUUAUCAUGAGAACAUCAUGGGAAAGUCCUGCCCCCAUGAUUCAAUUACCUCUUAC
rnacentral:lncRNA from 1 species